rnacentral:rRNA from 1 species
GUACGAGAGGACCGGGAUGGACGGACCCCUGGUGUUUCGGUUGUUUUGCCAAAGGCAUUGCCGAGUAGCCAAGUCCGGAACGGAUAACCGCUGAAAGCAUCUAAGCGGGAAGCCAACCACAAGAUGAGGAUUCCCUGAAGGUUCGUUGUAGACCACGACGUUGAUAGGCCGGGUGUGGAAGCGCUGCAAGGCGUGGAGCUAACCGGUACUAAUAGACCGUUCGGCUUGGCCAG